AUUGAACGCUGGCGGCAGGCUUAACACAUGUAAGUCGAGCGGGGUGAUGGUGCUUGCACUAUCACUUAGCGGCGGACGGGUGAGUAAUGCUUAGGAAUCUGCCUAUUAGUGGGGGACAACAUCUCGAAAGGGAUGCUAAUACCGCAUACGUCCUACGGGAGAAAGCAGGGGAUCACUUGUGACCUUGCGCUAAUAGAUGAGCCUAAGUCGGAUUAGCUAGUUGGUGGGGUGAAGGCCUACCAAGGCGACGAUCUGUAGCGGGUCUGAGAGGAUGAUCCGCCACACUGGGACUGAGACACGGCCCAGACUCCUACGGGAGGCAGCAGUGGGGAAUAUUGGACAAUGGGGGGAACCCUGAUCCAGCCAUGCCGCGUGUGUGAAGAAGGCCUUAUGGUUGUAAAGCACUUUAAGCGAGGAGGAGGCUCUUUUGGUUAAUACCCAAGAUGAGUGGACGUUACUCGCAGAAUAAGCACCGGCUAACUCUGUGCCAGCCGCCGCAGUAA
rnacentral:rRNA from 1 species